rnacentral:rRNA from 1 species
CCUACGGGAGGCAGCAGUCAGGAAUAUUGCACAAUGGGCGGAAGCCUGAUGCAGCAACGCCGCGUGCGGGAUGACGGCCUUCGGGUUGUAAACCGCUUUCGCCUGUGACGAAGCGUGAGUGACGGUAAUGGGUAAAGAAGCACCGGCUAACUACGUGCCAGCAGCCGCGGU